CCUAGGGUGGCAGCAGUGAGGAAUAUUGGUCAAUGGGCGCAAGCCUGAACCAGCCAUCCCGCGUGCAGGAAGACGGCCCUAUGGGUUGUAAACUGCUUUUCCAGGGGACGAAUAGCUUUUACGUGUAAGGGCAUGACGGUACCUUGGGAAUAAGCAUCGGCUAACUCCGUGCCAGCAGCCGCGGUAAUACGGAGGAUGCGAGCGUUAUCCGGAUUCAUUGGGUUUAAAGGGUGCGUAGGCGGACUGAUAAGUCAGUGGUGAAAUCCUGCAGCUUAACUGUAGAACUGCCAUUGAUACUGUUAGUCUUGAGUUUGGUGAAGGUAGGCGGAAUGUGUAAUGUAGCGGUGAAAUGCUUAGAUAUUACACAGAACACCGAUUGCGUAGGCAGCUUACUGGACCGACACUGACGCUGAGGCACGAAAGCGUGGGGAUCGAACA
rnacentral:rRNA from 1 species